CAGGGAAUCUUGCGCAAUGGACGGGAGUCCGACGCAGCGACGCCGCGUGGGUGAAGACGGCCUUCGGGUUGUAAAGCCCUUUUCUGGGGGAAGAGAGAGGACGGUACUCCAGGAAUAAGUGUCGGCUAACUACGUGCCAGCAGCCGCGGUAAUACGUAGGACACGAGCGUUAUCCGGAUUUACUGGGCGUAAAGCGCCUGUAGGCGGUUCUUCGAGUCGUUUGUGAAAGCCCUGGGCUCAACCUGGGGAGGCCAAGCGAUACUGGAGGACUUGAGGGUGACAGAGGGGAGUGGAAUUUCCGGUGUAGCGGUAAAAUGCGCAGAUAUCGGGAGGAACACCAGUGGCGAAGGCGGCUCCCUGGGUCACCCCUGGCGCUGAGAGGCGAAAGCUAGGGGAGCAAACAG
rnacentral:rRNA from 1 species